GGGCCGCAGAGGGCGUCUGGAGACCGGAGAAACCGCGGCCGUCUGGCCCCUCGCCUCGGCCGGGGCUGUCCCUUUAAAUCCUGGAGGAGGCAAAGAGAAAAAAGGAAAGAAAGAAAAAAGACGCGGAGCCCCGAGAGGCUGGUGGCUCUGCUCUGCCCCCCACUCCGCCCCCGCGCAGAGGCCUGACUCCCGCCCGCCGCCUCCGCAGGUCCUGGGCGUCCCCCGCAGCGCCGCCUACUCGCCACAGUUACUGUCAAAAUAGAAAUUAACGGAGCCGGGAGGAAGCUGGGACACAGCAAGUGCAUGUGUGGCAGGGCGGGGAGGGGGCCGCAGGGGAGCAGGCGGGCGCGAGCGAGGAGAGGCGACCGCAGACAUCCGGGCCCUUUAGCCCCGUGCGCCCCCCGAGCCGGCGGCGCGGGCACCGGGCGCGGGGCUCCGGGCUGACAGCCGCGGCGCGGGAGGCGGGGCGCAAGGAGGGCGGAGGCGCAGCACCGGGAGGGAGGAGCUGUCCGCGCGCCCGCCGCCACCGCUCGACUCCACACCCGCCGGCGCAGCCCCGCCACGAGACUCUGACAGCGGCGCGGCCAGCGCUGCUCGCGAGCGCAGGGACGGACAGACAGCCGCCGCGAAGGAGGACGCGAGCACCGCUGCCGGGCGCCAAGUGCGCGAGGCGCGCGGAGACGGAGGCGCGCAGAGAUUUCCUCUGAAGCUGCUGGGAGCUCAGUUUCCCCCAUCCCUGAGGAGGAGGACCGUCAGAAGAGAAGGAAGGGAUGGCGUGGAGCCCACUCAGCGCCUAAGGAGUGGAUCUCCAAGUGGGGAGCUGCACCACUGGGGUGACUCAAGAAGAAUCGAUGCUUUGGCCCCUGGUGACAUGUACACGGUGUAAUGACAGGAAGUGAACAGGUUUGCAGGAAAACUGGUGGCCUGAAAUCGAAGACUAAGGUGUGGGUGCUUGUGAGUAUGAGUUUUGCUUGCGGGGUUCUGUGUUUAACAAUGUUCCUGGGAAGUGGGCGUGUUCCCAGAUAGGGGAAAGGAGUGUGACCUGGGUGGAAUCAGCUUUGGAUUCUUCUGGAAGGUGCUUCUUGGUGGGCAGGACUGAACCCAGGCAUGUAAGCAUCAAGUGAAGGAGGGUGCUCUGAACCCCGGCUCUGCCCUCUAAGUAGAGGACAUUCCUGCUGGCUUGGCAAGAGAGUUGUUCCCUUGGCUUGUGAGUUGUUGCAGGGUGGAGCAGGGCUCCCCUGGGAACAGAGAGGCAUGCAUCUGUGCAGUUCUAAGUUUGCUGCGAGAUUAGCCCUAUUUAGAACAGUAAAUUCUCAUAGAGACCGGGUAACCAUGUGUUAAUCUCAGAGCAAUCAUAGGUACCAAUCCUGUCAUCAGUCUGAGAAGUUCAUUAACCACCGGGACGGGGCAUGACCCAAAAGCCCGGAGCAAGCCUCGAGAUGCAGCAGGCGCAGGCUUCACUUUGGAAGAGUGCUCAGUCCAGAGUGGGAAGAGAAGACAUCUGCACAUGAGACAAAGAACUUUCUGGAAGGAUGCAGGGGUUGACCUUGGCUCCAUGGCCCAGAAAGAAAUGCUGGUGAUGGGGAGUGGUCAGGAAAAACUCCCUGGGGAAGGAGAGACUUGAUCAGGACAAUGGGGGAGAUAGGGAGGAGGAGUAGGG
rnacentral:lncRNA from 1 species